rnacentral:miRNA from 1 species
CACCUCAUCAACCGGAAGGAAUCCCCUUCCGGUUGAUGAGGUUGUUACACCUCAUCAACCGGAAGGAAUCCCUUCCGGUUGAUGAGGUU